ensembl:snRNA U6 U6 spliceosomal RNA
GUGCUCACUUCGGCAGCACGUAUACAAAAUUGGAACAAUUCAGAGAAGAUGAGCAUGGCCCCUGCACAAGGAUGACACACAAAUUCAUGAAGGGUUCCAUAUUUUU